rnacentral:snoRNA from 1 species
GAAUUGCCUGUGAUGGUGUUAAAUAUACUUUGCAGCUUCAGCUAUGAAAAAAACUACAAUCUGAGGCUUUUU